rnacentral:rRNA from 1 species
GGCGAACGCUGGCGGCGUGCUUAACACAUGCAAGUCGAACGGAAAGGCCUCUUUCGGGGGGUACUCGAGUGGCGAACGGGUGAGUAACACGUGAGUAACCUGCCCUUGACUUUGGGAUAACUUCAGGAAACUGGGGCUAAUACCGGAUAGGAGCUCCUGCUGCAUGGUGGGGGUUGGAAAGUUUCGGCGGUUGGGGAUGGACUCGCGGCUUAUCAGCUUGUUGGUGGGGUAGUGGCUUACCAAGGCUUUGACGGGUAGCCGGCCUGAGAGGGUGACCGGCCACAUUGGGACUGAGAUACGGCCCAGACUCCUACGGGAGGCAGCAGUGGGGAAUAUUGCACAAGGGGUGGAAGCCUGAUGCAGCAACGCCGUGUGCGGGAUGACGGCCUUCGGGUUGUAAACCGCUUUCGCUCAUGACGAAGCUUUGUGUGACGGUAGUGGGUAAAGAAGCACCGGCUAACUACGUG